AUACGUAGGUGGCAAGCGUUGUCCGGAAUUAUUGGGCGUAAAGCGCAUGUAGGCGGUGCCUUAAGUCUGUCGUGAAACUGCGGGGCCUAACCCCGUAUGGCGAUGGAAACUGUGGCACUUGAGUGCAGGAGAGGAAAGGGGAACUCCCAGUGUAGCGGGGAAAUGCGUAGAUAUUGGGAAGAACACCGGUGGCGAAGGCGCCUUUCUGGACUGUGUCUGACGCUGAGAUGCGAAAGCCAGGGUAGCGAACGGGAUUAGAUACCCCGGUAGUCCUGGCCGUAAACGAUGGGUACUAGGUGUGGGAGGCAUCGACCCCUUCCGUGCCGGAGUUAACGCAAUAAGUACCCCGCCUGGGGAGUACGGCCGCAAGGCUUAAACUCAAAUGAAUUGACGGGG
rnacentral:rRNA from 1 species